rnacentral:rRNA from 2 species
ACGACCAUACCCACUGGAAAACUCGGGAUCCCGUCCGCUCUCCCAUAGAUAAGCCAGUGAGGGCCAGAUUAGUAGUUGGGUCGGUGACGACCAGCGAAUCCCUGGUGUUGUAUGUU